rnacentral:rRNA from 1 species
AUGGUUGUUGCGCCGUUGAACUCGCCCGCGCUCAUCACCGCCCUCGCCUUCCUUGUCUUGGUGAUCACCCUCCUCGUCUCCACCAGGCGCCGCAGCAACGCGCCGCGGCUGCCCCCGUCGCCGCGGGGCCUGCCGGUCGUCGGCCACCUCCACCUGCUCGGGAGCCUGCCGCACCGAAGCCUCCGGUCCCUGGCCUCGUCCCUCGGCCCGGUCAUGCACCUGCGGCUCGGCCGCGUGCCGACAGUCGUGGCGUCCUCCCCGGCCGCGGCGGAGGAGGCCAUGAAGACCCGCGACCUGGACUUCGCCGGCCGCCCCAGGCUCCUCAUGGUCGACCGCUUCUACUACGGCACCGGCGGGAUCGGCUUCGCGCCCUACGGCGACCACUGGCGCCAGGCGCGCCGCGUCUGCGCCGUCCACAUGCUCAGCGCGCGCCGCGUCGCGUCCCUGGGCCGCGUGCGGGCGCAGGAGGCCGCCGCGCUCGUCGGCCGGGUCCGCCGCGCCGGCAUCUCUGGCGGCGUCGUGAACCUGAGCGACAGCCUCAACGGCUACUCCAACGGUGUCAUCUCCCGCUGCACGCUCGGCGACGCGGACUGCGGGGUGGAGGGCGGCGGCGCGAGGCUGAGGAAGGCGUUCGGCGAGAUGGAGGAGCUGCUGGGCACGGUGCCCAUGGAGGAGACGGUGCCGUGGCUGGGAUGGGUGGACACGGUGACAGGGCUGGAGCGGAAGGCCAAGCGCGUCUUCGAGGAGAUGGACGGGCUGCUGGAGCGGGUCAUCGCCGACCACCGCCAGCGACGCCGUGCCGCCGCCGCCACCGGGGACGUUGAAGACUUUGUGGACGUGAUGCUGGACGCGGACGAGCUGGACACGGGCAGCAUCAAGUCCAUCAUCCUGGACGUGCUCGCCGCCGCCACGGCCACGACCUUCGCGCUGCUCGAGUGGGCCAUGGCGGAGCACAUCAACCACCCGCACGAGAUGCGCAGGCUCCAGGCCGAGGUCCGCUCGGCCGUCGGCCCCGGCCCCGGCGCCGGCGCCGUCGUCACGGAGGCCCAUCUCCCGCGCCUGCCGUACCUGAAGGCCGUGAUCAACGAGACCCUGCGGCUCCACCCGCCGUCGCCGCUGCUGCUGCCGCGGGAGACGCUGGAGGACACCCGGCUGCUGGGCUACGACGUGCCGGCGGGCACCCGGGUCCUGAUCAACGCGUGGGCCAUCGGCCGCGACCCGGCGACGUGGGGGCCCCGCGCCGAGGAGUUCGCGCCGGAGAGGUUCGUCGGGUACGGCCUCGGCGGUGCCGGGCAGGACUUCUCGUUCCUGCCCUUCGGCGCCGGGAGGAGGGGCUGCCCAGGGGUGGAGUUCGCCAUGCUGUCCAACGAGCUGGCGCUGGCGAGCCUCGUGCAUGGCUUCAACUGGGAGCUGCCCGGCGGGAGGGCGCCGCCGGUGGACAUGAGCGAGCUGUACGGCAUCUCCGUCCAUGGAAAUCAUCACUUGUACUGUGUUUCUUUAAAAAAAAUAAAAAUUCUUUGUGGUGUAAUCUGA